ACGCGACGACAAGAGGAGUACUCGCAGACACUCACCGACCCAAAGUGGUCGCCGCUCUGUGGGCGAAAGUCCCUGGACCCGUGGCCGAAAGGGCCGUCCCUCAAGGGGUGACCACCAGGGAGUAGUCGUAGCAAAGUUACACUCGCAUGCGAACAACAUAGGGCUUACUCUGUCGGUCGCA
rfam:Angiostrongylus costaricensis strain Costa Rica genome assembly, scaffold: ACOC_scaffold0001419